rnacentral:rRNA from 1 species
UAACCUGCCCUGGAUGGGGAAUAACAGCUGGAAACAGCUGCUAAUACCGCAUAAUGCAGUUGGGCCGCAUGGCUCUGACUGCCAAAGAUUUAUCGCUCUGGGAUGGACUCGCGUCUGAUUAGCUAGUUGGUGGGGCAACGGCCCACCAAGGCGACGAUCAGUAGCCGGACUGAGAGGUUGGCCGGCCACAUUGGGACUGAGACACGGCCCAGACUCCUACGGGAGGCAGCAG